rnacentral:rRNA from 1 species
GAUUAAGUUAUUAAGGGCGCACGGUGGAUGCCUUGGCACUAGAAGCCGAUGAAGGACGUUACUAACGACGAUAUGCUUUGGGGAGCUGUAAGUAAGCUUUGAUCCAGAGAUUUCCGAAUGGGGAAACCCAGCAUGAGUUAUGUCAUGUUAUCGAUAUGUGAAUACAUAGCAUAUCAGAAGGCACACCCGGAGAACUGAAACAUCUUAGUACCCGGAGGAAGAGAAAGAAAAUUCGAUUCCCUUAGUAGCGGCGAGCGAAAUGGGAAGAGCCCAAACCAACAAGCUUGCUUGUUGGGGUUGUAGGACACUCUAUACGGAGUUACAAAGGACGACAUUAGACGAAUCAUCUGGAAAGAUGAAUCAAAGAAGGUAAUAAUCCUGUAGUCGAAAAUGUUGUCUCUCUUGAGUGGAUCCUGAGUACGACGGAGCACGUGAAAUUCCGUCGGAAUCUGGGAGGACCAUCUCCUAAGGCUAAAUACUCUCUAGUGACCGAUA